rnacentral:rRNA from 1 species
UUGGAGGGCAAGUCUGGUGCCAGCAGCCGCGGUAAUUCCAGCUCCAAUAGCGUAUAUUAAAGUUGUUGCAAUUAAAAAGCUCGUAGUUGAAUUUCGGGGUCAGUAGAUUGGUCAUGCCACUGGUAUGUACUGGUCUCACUGAUUCCUCCUUCCUGAUGAGCCGUAAUGCCAUUAAUUUGGUGUUGCGAGGAAUCUGGACUGUUACUUUGAAAAAAUUAGAGUGUUUAAAGCAGGCUAACGCUUGAAUACAUUAGCAUGGAAUAAUGAAAUAGGACGUUCGAUCUUAUUUUGUUGGUUUCUAAGAUUGACGUAAUGAUUAAUAGGGAUAGUUGGGGGCAUUAGUAUUCAAUUGUCAGAGGUGAAAUUCUUGGAUUUAUUGAAGACUAACUACUGCGAAAGCAUUUGCCAAGGAUGUUUUCAUUUAUCAAGAACGAAAGUUAGGGGAUCGAAGACGAUCAGAUACCGUCGUAGUCUUAACCAUAAACUAUGCCGACUAGGGAUCGGAUGAUGUUAAUUUUAAAGACUCAUUCGGCGCCUUACGGGAAAC